GGCGUGCCUAAUACAUGCAAGUCGAGCGGACAGAUGGGAGCUUGCUCCCUGAUGUUAGCGGCGGACGGGUGAGUAACACGUGGGUAACCUGCCUGUAAGACUGGGAUAACUCCGGGAAACCGGGGCUAAUACCGGAUGGUUGUYUGAACCGCAUGGUUCAGACAUAAAAGGUGGCUUCGGCUACCACUUACAGAUGGACCCGCGGCGCAUUAGCUAGUUGGUGAGGUAACGGCUCACCAAGGCGACGAUGCGUAGCCGACCUGAGAGGGUGAUCGGCCACACUGGGACUGAGACACGGCCCAGACUCCUACGGGAGGCAGCAGUAGGGAAUCUUCCGCAAUGGACGAAAGUCUGACGGAGCAACGCCGCGUGAGUGAUGAAGGUUUUCGGAUCGUAAAGCUCUGUUGUUAGGGAAGAACAAGUGCCGUUCAAAUAGGGCGGCACCUUGACGGUACCUAACCAGAAAGCCACGGCUAACUACGUGCCAGCAGCCGCGGUAAUACGUAGGUGGCAAGCGUUGUCCGGAAUUAUUGGGCGUAAAGGGCUCGCAGGCGGUUUCUUAAGUCUGAUGUGAAAGCCCCCGGCUCAACCGGGGAGGGUCAUUGGAAACUGGGGAACUUGAGUGCAGAAGAGGAGAGUGGAAUUCCACGUGUAGCGGUGAAAUGCGUAGAGAUGUGGAGGAACACCAGUGGCGAAGGCGACUCUCUGGUCUGUAACUGACGCUGAGGAGCGAAAGCGUGGGGAGCGAACAGGAUUAGAUACCCUGGUAGUCCACGCCGUAAACGAUGAGUGCUAAGUGUUAGGGGGUUUCCGCCCCUUAGUGCUGCAGCUAACGCAUUAAGCACUCCGCCUGGGGAGUACGGUCGCAAGACUGAAACUCAAAGGAAUUGACGGGGGCCCGCACAAGCGGUGGAGCAUGUGGUUUAAUUCGAAGCAACGCGAAGAACCUUACCAGGUCUUGACAUCCUCUGACAAUCCUAGAGAUAGGACGUCCCCUUCGGGGGCAGAGUGACAGGUGGUGCAUGGUUGUCGUCAGCUCGUGUCGUGAGAUGUUGGGUUAAGUCCCGCAACGAGCGCAACCCUUGAUCUUAGUUGCCAGCAUUCAGUUGGGCACUCUAAGGUGACUGCCGGUGACAAACCGGAGGAAGGUGGGGAUGACGUCAAAUCAUCAUGCCCCUUAUGACCUGGGCUACACACGUGCUACAAUGGACAGAACAAAGGGCAGCGAAACCGCGAGG
rnacentral:rRNA from 1 species